rnacentral:rRNA from 1 species
UACGUAGGGUGCGAGCGUUACUCGGAAUUACUGGGCGUAAAGCGUGCGCAGGCGGCUUCGCAAGUCAGACGUGAAAUCCCCGGGCUUAACCUGGGAAUGGCGUUUGAAACUACGGAGCUGGAGUAUGGCAGAGGGGGGUGGAAUUCCACGUGUAGCGGUGAAAUGCGUAGAUAUGUGGAGGAACACCGAUGGCGAAGGCGGCCCACUGGAUCGGUACUGACGCUGAGGUGCGAAAGCGUGGGGAGCAAACAGG